CGGUGUUUAACUGGCGUGAUGUGGGACGUCCUACCGGUGGGCUUAGCCUCGCGAGGGGCGGCCCAACUAAUAUCCCGUCGCGGUGCUCUUUACUGAGUGUCGAGUCGGGCCGGUACGUUUACUUUGAACAAAUUAGAGUGCUUAAAGCAGGCUAUCCUCGCCUGAAUACUGCGUGCAUGGAAUAAUGGAAUAGGACCUCGGUUCUAUUUUGUUGGUUUUCGGAACCCCGAGGUAAUGAUUAAUAGGGACAGAUGGGGGCAUUCGUAUUGCGACGUUAGAGGUGAAAUUCUUGGAUCGUCGCAAGACGGACAGAAGCGAAAGCAUUUGCCAAAAAUGUUUUCAUUAAUCAAGAACGAAAGUUAGAGGUUCGAAGGCGAUCAGAUACCGCCCUAGUUCUAACCAUAAACGAUGCCAGCUAGCGAUCCGCCGAAGUUCCCUCCGAUGACUCGGCGGGCAGCUUCCGGGAAACCAAAGCUUUUGGGUUCCGGGGGAAGUAUGGUUGCAAAGCUGAAACUUAAAGGAAUUGACGGAAGGGCACCACCAGGAGUGGAGCCUGCGGCUUAAUUUGACUCAACACGGGAAACCUCACCAGGCCCAGACACCGGAAGGAUUGACAGAUUGAUAGCUCUUUCUUGAUUCGGUGGGUGGUGGUGCGUGGCCGUUCUUAGUUGGUGGAGCGAUUUGUCUGGUUAAUUCCGAUAACGAACGAGACUCUAGCCUGCUAAAUAGGCGUACCUUAUGGUAUCGCGAAGGCCCCCGGCUUCGGCCGGUGGGUUUUUACUACCAACGUACAAACAAAUCUUCUUAGAGGGACAGGCGG
rnacentral:rRNA from 1 species